rnacentral:rRNA from 1 species
GAGUUUGAUCCUGGCUCAGGACGAACGCUGGCGGCGCGCCUAACACAUGCAAGUCGAACGGAGCUGAGAGGAGCUUGCUUUUCUUAGCUUAGUGGCGAACGGGUGAGUAACGCGUGAGUAACCUGCCCUGGAGUGGGGGACAACAGUUGGAAACGACUGCUAAUACCGCAUAAGCCCACGGUACCGCAUGGUACGGUGUGAAAAACUCCGGUGGUAUGAGAUGGCCUCGCGUCCGAUUAGCUAGUUGGUGAGGUAAUGGCCCACCAAGGCAACGAUCGGUAGCCGGACUGAGAGGUUGAACGGCCACAUUGGGACUGAGACACGGCCCAGACUCCUACGGGAGGCAGCAGUGGGGAAUAUUGCACAAUGGGGGAAACCCUGAUGCAGCGACGCCGCGUGGAGGAAGAAGGUCUUCGGAUUGUAAACUCCUGUUGUUGAGGAAGAUAAUGACGGUACUCAACAAGGAAGUGACGGCUAACUACGUGCCAGCCGCCGCGGUAAUUC